AGAGUUUGAUCAUGGCUCAGAACGAACGUUGGCGGCGUGGAUUAGGCAUGCAAGUCGAGCGAGGACCGGGGGCAACCCCGGAGCCGAGCGGCGUAAGGGGCAGUAAUGCGUGGGUAACGUACCCCCGGGACCGGGAUAGCCGCGGGAAACUGCGGGUAAUACCGGGAGACGUUGCGGAGGGGCAUCUCUCUGCGACCAAAUGAAUUUCGCCCGGGGAGCGGCUCACGUGGUAUUAGCUAGUUGGUAGGGUAAUGGCCUACCAAGGCUGAGAUGCCUAGCGGGUGUGAGAGCACGACCCGCGCCACUGGCACUGAGACACUGGCCAGACACCUACGGGUGGCUGCAGUCGAGGAUCUUCGGCAAUGGGCGCAAGCCUGACCGAGCGACGCCGCGUGCGGGAUGAAGGCCUUCGGGUUGUAAACCGCUGUCGUGGGGGAGGAAAGCCGCAAGGCUUGACCUAUCCCAGGAGGAAGCACGGGCUAAGUUCGUGCCAGCAGCCGCGGUAAGACGAACCGUGCAAACGUUGUUCGGAAUCACUGGGCUUAAAGGGCGCGUAGGCGGCUCAGCAAGUCGGGGGUGAAAUCUUUCGGCUCAACCGGAAAAGUGCCUUCGAUACUGCGGAGCUCGAGGAAGAUAGGGGCCACGGGAACGACCAGUGGAGCGGUGAAAUGCGUUGAGAUUGGUAGGAACGCCGGUGGCGAAAGCGCGUGGCUGGAUCUUCCCUGACGCUGAGGCGCGAAAGCUAGGGGAGCAAACGGGAUUAGAUACCCCAGUAGUCC
rnacentral:rRNA from 1 species